GUGAGGGUGACGGCCUUCGGGUUGUAAACCUCUUUCAGCACGGAAGAAGCGAAAGUGACGGUACGUGCAGAAGAAGCGCCGGCUAACUACGUGCCAGCAGCCGCGGUAAUACGUAGGGCGCAAGCGUUGUCCGGAAUUAUUGGGCGUAAAGAGCUCGUAGGCGGUUUGUCGCGUCUGCUGUGAAAGCCCGGGGCUUAACCCCGGGUGUGCAGUGGGUACGGGCAGACUUGAGUGCAGUAGGGGAGACUGGAAUUCCUGGUGUAGCGGUGAAAUGCGCAGAUAUCAGGAGGAACACCGAUGGCGAAGGCAGGUCUCUGGGCUGUUACUGACGCUGAGGAGCGAAAGCAUGGGGAGCGAACAGGAUUAGAUACCCUGGUAGUCCAUGCCGUAAACGUUGGGCACUAGGUGUGGGGAACAUUCCACGUUUUCCGCGCCGUAGCUAACGCAUUAAGUGCCCCGCCUGGGGAGUACGGCCGCAAGGCUAAAACUCAAAGGAAUUGACGGGGGCCCGCACAAGCGGCGGAGCAUGCGGAUUAAUUCGAUGCAACGCGAAGAACCUUACCAAGGCUUGACAUACACCGGACCGGGCCAGAGAUGGUCUUUCCCCCUUGUGGGGCUGGUGUACAGGUGGUGCAUGGUUGUCGUCAGCUCGUGUCGUGAGAUGUUGGGUUAAGUCCCGCAACGAGCGCAACCCUCGUUCUAUGUUGCC
rnacentral:rRNA from 2 species